AUUGAAGGAACUUCUGUUAAAAUCCGUCACGUCCUGGGCCUGCGAAUACUCGCCCCAUCGGAAACAUUUGUGACGAACACAGAAGCCAACACAUCCUGUGCA
rnacentral:sRNA from 1 species